rnacentral:rRNA from 1 species
CAGCAGCCGCGGGAAAACGUAGGUGGCAAGCGUUGUCCGGAAUUAUUGGGCGUAAAGGGCUCGCAGGCGGUUUCUUAAGUCUGAUGUGAAAGCCCCCGGCUCAACCGGGGAGGGUCAUUGGAAACUGGGAAACUUGAGUGCAGAAGAGGAGAGUGGAUUUCCGCGUGUAGCGGUGAAAUGCGUAGAGAUGUGGAGGAACACCAGUGGCGAAGGCGACCCUCUGGUCUGUAACUGACGCUGAGGAGCGAAAGCGUGGGGAGCGAACAGGAUUAGAUACCCCCGUAGUCCCUGUCUCUUAUAC